rnacentral:rRNA from 1 species
UUAGCAUAUCAAUAAGCGGAGGAAAAGAAACCAACAGGGAUUACCUCAGUAACGGCGAGUGAAGCGGUAACAGCUCAAAUUUGAAAUCUGGCCUCACGGUCCGAGUUGUAAUUUGUAGAGGAUGCUUCGAGCAUGGUCUGGCCUAAGUUCCUUGGAACAGGACGUCAUAGAGGGUGAGAAUCCCGUAUGCGGUCAGGUGCCUACGCUCAUGUGAAGCUCCUUCGACGAGUCGAGUUGUUUGGGAAUGCAGCUCAAAAUGGGUGGUAAAUUUCAUCUAAAGCUAAAUAUUGGCCAGAGACCGAUAGCGCACAAGUAGAGUGAUCGAAAGAUGAAAAGCACUUUGGAAAGAGAGUUAAACAGUACGUGAAAUUGUUGAAAGGGAAGCGCUUGCAACCAGACUUGCGCGCGGCCGAUCAUCCGGUGUUCUCACCGGUGCACUCGGCCGUGCUCAGGCCAGCAUCGGUUUUGGCGGCUGGAUAAAGGCCCUAGGAAUGUAGCUCCUCUCGGGGAGUGUUAUAGCCUAGGGUGCAAUGCAGCCUGCUGGGACCGAGGACCGCGCUUCGGCUAGGAUGCUGGCGUAAUGGUUGUAAGCGGCCCGUCUUGAAACACGGACCAAGGAGUCUAACAUCUAUGCGAGUGUUUGGGUGUCAAACCCAUACGCGUAAUGAAAGUGAACGGAGGUGAGAACCCUUAAGGGUGCAUCAUCGACCGAUCCUGAUGUCUUCGGAAGGAUUUGAGUAAGAGCAUAGCUGUUGGGACCCGAAAGAUGGUGAACUAUGCCUGAAUAGGGUGAAGCCAGAGGAAACUCUGGUGGAGGCUCGCAGCGGUUCUGACGUGCAAAUCGAUCGUCAAAUUUGGGUAUAGGGGCGAAAGACUAAUCGAACCAUCUAGUAGCUGGUUCCUGCCGAA